rnacentral:rRNA from 1 species
AACGAACGUUGGCGGCGUGGAUUAGGCAUGCAAGUCGAACGAAUCCCAGCUUUGUAGCAAUACCGAGCUGGGGGAAGUGGCGAAAGGGGCAGUAAUGCGUGGGUAACCUACCUCGGGGACCGGGAUAGCCUUCCUAACGGAUGGGUAAUACCGGGCGAUGUGGUCGAGGGGCAUCUCUUGGCCAUGAGAUGAAUUUCGCAAGAAAUCUCGCUUCGGGAGGGGCUCACGUGCUAUUAGCUAGUUGGUGAGGUAACGGCUCACCAAGGCAAGGAUGGCUAGCGGGUGUGAGAGCACGACCCGCGCCACUGGCACUGAGACACUGGCCAGACACCUACGGGUGGCUGCAGUCGAGGAUCUUCGGCAAUGGGCGCAAGCCUGACCGAGCGACGCCGCGUGUGAGAUGAAGGCCUUCGGGUUGUAAAGCACUGUCGAGGGGGAGGAAGUCGAAAGAUUGACCUAUCCCUGGAGGAAGGACGGGCUAAGUUCGUGCCAGCCGCCGCUGUAAGAC